CGGACGGGUGAGUAACGCGUGGGCAACCUGCCCUUAUCUGGGGGAUAACAGUUGGAAACGACUGAUAAUACCGCAUAAUAUGGUUUGAAGGCAUCUUCUUUCCAUCAAAGAUUUAUCGGAUAAGGAUGGGCCCGCGUCUGAUUAGCUUGUUGGUGAGGUAACGGCUCACCAAGGCGACGAUCAGUAGCCGACCUGAGAGGGUGAUCGGCCACAUUGGAACUGAGACACGGUCCAAACUCCUACGGAAGGCAGCAG
rnacentral:rRNA from 1 species